rnacentral:rRNA from 1 species
UACAUGUGGGGCAAGCGUUGUUCGGAAUUACUGGGCAUAAAGGGUGCGUAGGUGGCUUGUUAAGUCAGGGGUGAAAGUUUUCGGCCCAACCGGAAAAUGGCCUUUGAUACUGGCGAGCUUGAGUGCGUGAGGGGUAACCGGAACGAGCAGUGUAGCGGUGAAAUGCGUAGAUAUCAGGAGGAACACCUGUGGUGUAGACGGCUUUCUGGACCAUAGCUGACGCUGAGACACGAAAGCGUGGGUAGCAAACAGG